rnacentral:rRNA from 1 species
UUUCCUACGGGACGCAGCAGUCGAGAAUCAUUCACAAUGGGGGAAACCCUGAUGCAGCAACGCCGCGUGAGUGAAGAAGUAUUUCGGUAUGUAAAGCUCUAUCAGCAGGGAAGAAAAUGACGGUACCUGAGUAAGAAGCCCCGGCUAACUACGUGCCAGCAGCCGCGGUAAUACGUAGGGGGCAAGCGUUAUCCGGAUUUACUGGGUGUAAAGGGAGCGUAGACGGCGAUGCAAGUCUGAAGUGAAAGCCCGGGGCUCAACCCCGGGACUGCUUUGGAAACUGUAUGGCUGGAUUGCUGGAGAGG